rnacentral:rRNA from 1 species
CUCCGGUUGAUCCUGCCGGACCCGACUGCUAUCAGAGUGGGACUAAGCCAUGCGAGUCAACAUAGCAAUAUGUGGCAUACGGCUCAGUAACACGUAGUCAACAUGCCCAGGGGACGUGGAUAACCUCGGGAAACUGAGGAUAAACCGCGAUAGGUCAUCACUUCUGGAAUGGGUAAUGACUUAAAUCUAUAUGGCCCCUGGAUUGGACUGCGGCCGAUCAGGCUGUUGGUGAGGUAAUGGCCCACCAAACCUGUAACCGGUACGGGCUCUGAGAGGAGGAGCCCGGAGAUGGGCACUGAGACAAGGGCCCAGGCCCUAUGGGGCGCAGCAGGCGCGAAACCUCUGCAAUAGGCGAAAGCUUGACAGGGUUACUCUGAGUGAUUUCCGUUAAGGAGAUCUUUUGGCACCUCUAAAAAUGGUGCAGAAUAAGGGGUGGGCAAGUCUGGUGUCAGCCGCCGCGGUAAUACCAGCACCCCGAGUGGUCGGGACGUUUAUUGGGCCUAAAGCAUCCGUAGCCGGUUCUACAAGUCUUCCGUUAAAUCCACCUGCUUAACAGAUGGGCUGCGGAAGAUACUAUAGAGCUAGGAGGCGGGAGAGGCAAGCGGUACUCGAUGGGUAGGGGUAAAAUCCGUUGAUCCAUUGAAGACCACCAGUGGCGAAGGCGGCUUGCCAGAACGCGCUCGACGGUGAGGGAUGAAAGCUGGGGGAGCAAACCGGAUUAGAUACCCGGGUAGUCCCAGCUGUAAACGAUGCAGACUCGGUGAUGAGUUGGCUUAUUGCUAACUCAGUGCCGCAGGGAAGCCGUUAAGUUUGCCGCCUGGGGACUACGGUCGCAAGACUGAAACUUAAAGGAAUUGGCGGGGGACCA